AGCUGGGCACGGAAGCGUAGGGCGGCGGCGCUUCUCUCCCGGUCCCGCUCCGUCUCCGGCGCCAACCGCACCGGAACGCGGGCAGUGUGGACGCCCACCUCGGGCUCGGUUUACCCGCCGGUGGAGAGGGCCGAGGUCUUGCGCCAGCGGACCUAGAAGCGGCGUCUCUUCAGCACGCGCAGUCCAGCGUCUACUCUGUGCCAGGGACCCGUGUGGAGGGUGCCUGGUCGGGGCCGGGGAGCCAGCGCUUCCUGGGCACUUUAAACAGUGCUCCCUGGCUGGGACCGGUUUACCCCGGGCCGGCUUCUGGGCCCUGCCGCGCGAGGACCGAGCGUACCCCUACGGUGCGCGGCGCGCCGGGGGACGAGAGACGUCGAGCCUGACUCACCCCUGGGGACUCCUGCUCUCCUGAGGGAGAGGACAGGAAACUGCUGAGAGUCACUAAGAUUUGGAUCCUCAGUCUGUGUGUGGGAAGUGCACUCAGAUACCAUGCAGAGGCAGGAGUCCAGAGAGGAUGUGGCUGCAAUAGUCCAGACAGCCCAGCAGAUUGCAGCUCCAGCCAACAUCUUGACUGAAAACUUCUGAGAGGCUCUACGGCAGAAACUGUCAAUCAAGCUACUAAUGAUUUCCUGCCUCACAAAAAUCAGUGAGAAAAUGAAUUAUUAUUGUUUUAAGCUGCUAAUUUGUGGAGUUAUUACAUAACAAUAGAUCGAUUGGGUCAAGCAUCAUAAUGGAUGCUAAAAUUAGUGAAAUAGUGAAAAAUUUGUGAAAGUUGCAGGAGUAAUAGGAUAUUUAAAUGGUUUAAAAAUAUUUCCCCUCAGGAUAGUUAUUCCAAUAGCCAAGACAUGGAAACAACCCAAAUGUGCAUCGACAGACGAUUGGAUUAGGAAGAUGUGGUCUAUAUACACAAUGGAAUACUACUCAGCCAUAAAAAAGAAUGACAUAAUGCCAUUUGCAGCAACAUGGAUGGAACUAGAGACUCUCACACUGAGUGAAAGAAGUCAGAAAGAGAAAGACAAACACCAUAUGAUAUCACUUAUAUCUGGAAUCUAAUAUAUAGCACAAAUGAACCUUUCCACAGAAAAGAAAAUCAUGGACUUGGAGAAUAGACUUGUGGUUGCCCUGGGGGAGAGGGAGGGAGUGGGAGGGAUUGGGAGCUUGGGGUUAACGGAUGCAAACUAUUGCUCUUGGAAUGGAUUUACAAUGAGAUCCUGCUGGGUAGCAUUGAGAACUAUAUCUAGAUACUUACAUUGCAACAUGAUAAUGGGAGGAAAAAUUAUGUAUACAUGUAUGUGUAACUUGGUCCCCAUGCUGUACAGUGGAAAAAAAAUUAAAAAAUGACACAAAUGAUCUAUUUACAAAACAAAACAAAAAAAAAAUAGUUAUUCAUUACAAAGAGAAAACGCAGUAACCUGACAGUGGUGAAACCCGGCAGCUGUCACUCCACCAAGUGAUUUAUAUUAACAUCACUAGUAAUAGGACAUGUGGCUCUCAGGUGCCACCUGGUGGGAAACACAGGACACACCACCACUUGGGUGGUUCCUGCAUAGCCUGAGUCCAACCAUGAGGAAACUUCAGACAGACAGACCCACAGGAGGGACAUGCUACAAAAUAACUGACUUUUUCAAAAGCAUCAAAGUCAAGCUUAAAUUUUUAGGGAAGACAGACCAAGGAACUGUUCCCAAUAAAGAAGACCAAAGAGAUAGGGCAGUGAAAUGCAGAGUAAGUUGCAGGCGCCAGUGCGCCUCACCCCAAAACACUUCAGCAUGCACACCAGGAGCUAGAGUUCAAUAUUUGUUUCUCUGUCAAAGUGACAUUCAGUGAAAGUAUUCAGUGAAAGGUUCUGGGGGGCAGUGCUGGUCUAGAGCAUCUCCCGCAGAGCUGCCCCAUUCUUUUUUUAGCAUCUGCAGAGUAUUUCUUGGAAACAACAGUCACUGAUGUUCCAUCACGAGAUUUGCUAUGGCAUGUCCAUGUGUCUUUGUGCAGGUGUGUCUCUGUAGUAUAAAUGCCAAGUCUUUCUGGGCUCAUUGGCGUUUCCCAUUUAUAACCUAUGGCCAAAGCACAACUUGAGGUUUGAUGCACCUUGCAAGGUCACUAAAAGUGUGUAAACGUGUUGUUUUCCCAAACCUUCAUCAACCCCUUGUGGAACUAACAAUUUUUUUUUAAGCUAAUGGUGAAAGUUUUCAAGACAAUCAGAACUCUACCGGGAGACUGCUCUGCCACACCCUUCUUUCAUCUCACAACACCACUGGGCGUCUCUCCAUGUUGACAUGUGAAAAUCUACCUUGUCCUUUAAAAAAGUUGUGGUGGAGUUCCCAUCAUGGCUCAGUGGUUAACGGACCUGACUAGCAUCCAUAAGGACUCAGGUUCGAUCCCUGGCCUCCAUCAGUGGGUUAAGGAUCCAGUGUUGCUAUGAGCUCCGGUGAAGGUCGCAGACUUGGCUUGGAUCCUGCGUUGCUGUGGCUCUGGCGUACGCUGGUGGCUACAGCUCUGAUUGGACCCCUAGCCUGGGAACCUCCAUAUGCCACGGGUGUGGCCCUAAAAAGACAAAAAAAAAAAAGUUGUGGUAAAAUUCACAUAGCAUAAAUGUUACCGUCUUUUAAAAAAUUGAGGUAUAGUUAGAGUUCCCUAGUGGCUCAGCAGGUUAAGGAUCCAGCGUUAUCACUGCUGUGGCUCAGGUUGUUACUGUGGUGCAGGUUCAGUCCCUGGCCUGGGAACUUCCACAUGCCAUUGGCAUGGCCAAAAAUAAAUAAAUAAAUUGAAGUAUAGUUGAUUUACAAUAUUGUGCUAGUUUCAGGUGUACAACAAUGUGAUUCAGAAAUAUUAUGAGAUAUUGAAUAAUAAUAUGAGAUACUGAAUAUAGUUCCCUGUGCUAUACAGUCAGUCCUUGUUGCUUAUCUAUUUUGUGUAGAGUAGUGUAUGUCUCUUAAUCCCAUACAUCUAAUUCAUCCCUCCCUGCCUUUCCCAUUUGGUAACCAUACGUUUGUUUUCUAUCUGUGAGUCUGUUUCAGUUUUGUAUAUAUAUUUCUGUUUUUUUUUUUUAGAUUCCACAUAUAAGUGAUAUUAUAUAGUAUAUCUUCAUCUGACUUACUUCUCUAAGUAUAAUAUUCUCUAGGUCCAUCUCUGUUGCCACAAAUGCCAUUAUUUCAUUCCUUUUUCUGAGUAAUGCUCCACUGUAUAUAUUAUACCACAUCUUCUUAAGCCAGUCAUCUGUCGAUGGGCACUUAGGUUGUUUCCGUGUCUUGGCCAUUGUAAAUAGUGCUGCUAAGAAUACUGGGAUGUGUGUAUAUUUUUACUUUUUGGCCACAUCCACAGCAUGGGGUAGUUUCUGGGCCAGGGAUCAAACCUGAGCCACAGCCAUAAUCCAAGACACACAGUUCCCUCUAGGGAACUCCCACAUGUAUCUUUUAAAAUUAGAGCUUUCAUCUUUUCUGUAUAUAUACCCAGGAGUGGGAUUGCUGGAUCAUAUGCUUGCUCUAUAAAAUUUACCAUCUUAUAAUUCCAUAGUUUUGAUAAAUGUGCUAUGCUUAU
rnacentral:lncRNA from 9 species